rnacentral:lncRNA from 1 species
GUAACUCAAGAAAAUGAUAACUGUUCAAGGGCCUUUUGGGGAAAAUACCCUGAUGAUCCCAAUAAAAAAUACUGGGCUGUUCUCAAUUAUUGUGAAAAGAAAUGAGUAAUGGAAAGGUGAUCAUUUUUUAUCUUAUCCUAGACCCAAAGAUUGAGGCAGAAACUUGAGGGUGGCCCAUUAAGUGACUUGCUUAACCAGCAAAAAGUUGUGCACGAGCCAUGUGUGUUGUGUUGUGUGGUUAGGGACAGCGUGAUGUUUGUAAAGAGAGAAAACGGGGGGACUGUCUGUCCAAAAGUGUGUUCCCUGCAGUCCCAGAGUGGUGCCUAUACCUUCCACUGUUAGAAGCACUCCUGGAGGUUACAC